GCUGGCAAGGAGAAAGUCAGGAAUCAGUAAUUAGCCCUGAUUCUCAGCAGCUGAUUUAAAAGUCUUUUAGGACAGCAGAGAGGUAGCUGGCUGCCUGGAAGGAGCAGGAAGGUUGGAAUUGCUCAGUUGGAGGAAGUCUCCUCUCUUGGACUGAUACAAUGAUCUCGCGCUUUGAGAAAAGACAUAUGGGUGAUAACGUUAUAUUUUUAAGGGCAGAGAUUGUUUGGAAGCAAUAGAUUACUACACUCCAGAAACACCUGUCUUAACUGGACCCAGGCUCUGUUAUGUGCCAAACUGAAGUAGCUGAGAAGUUCCACAACAAGAAGAACAACACCUUGCACCAUCACAGCCCUUCCUGUAACCAGACUGCUGUUCUAAGGAGAGACAAUCACAGAGUUCAACCUUCUGACUGGCGAAGGUCACCCAGAACUCAGCACCACGUUGGAGUUUCUCGACUCCCACUAAAGCUCAUCGACUUGCCUGAAGACACGCAGGUUACUGGGGAGAGAACCCAGAUCUUUGGGACUUACGGAAGAGAACAAAGAACCCAGGUUUUUAAUCAGAAGUUGAAAUAACACCGAACGUCAUUGCUGCCUUUGUCCUAAUGAUGGCAAUGCAAAAUGCAAGCUCUUGAGAGAAGUUCUUGAGCAUGGAAAGGAGCGCUCCUAUUAACUGUGUUAACACCGGCAUUAAAACAUCAGCUGGUAACUUAUCCCCUCUCUCCAUCAAGGCUUACACUGCAGUCCCAGAAAAUCCUGUUUCUCCUCCUACACACCACUGACAUGAUCGGUGGCUGAGGAAGCCUACAGAACAGCAAUGAAACAUCAUUCCUGCUGGGAAACCCCUGACGCAUUGUUUUUGAAGCUCUCGGAUACCACUGCAGCGAGCACAGUCACCGGAACGCAGUGUUCUUCCAGCACCAGGAAUGCAGAUCCCUGGGCACUCGAGUCCGCCGUUACAGAGUCUGAUUCCUAAGGCUGUGCAACAAAUGGCAUGUUUAAAGGGGAAUGCAGAGUCUGAAGCUGUAUUAAUACUCCUUCUCAUCCCAUUUUGCUCUUCCCAGGGCUAUUUCCAAUAGAAAUGGGUUAGAACAAAAUCCCGCUCCGAGUAGCCGCAAUAUUCUGGCCUCCUUAUUGCACAAAAUCCAGAUGAAAUGGCUAGCAAUUUCAAAAAAAUCCAAGCGAAACCUGAACAAAUGGCCCUUUAUUGUUACUGAAUACUAAAUCAUCAGGUCAUAUUAAAACUUUGGAGUGUUUGUUUUGCAACUUCUGUCCAAUCCCAGAAGUAGACAUUUUAUUUUGUUUUGCACCAUUCACAUUGUUUGUUCUUGUUCUUCCAUUUACCGCUUACAUUUAAGUGCCCUGUUUCAUUAUGUUUCCUUUUUUGAAAUGACUGUGGCAACUGUUGUCAAGUUUCUAUUAUGUUUACAAGAAAAAAAAAAAGCAAAACCCAAUAGAAAAAAGUAAUUAACACAACCAUUUCAUUGAAGUCGAUAAGGCUAUUCUUGGCAUGAAGUGUGACUUAGGAUUAAAGAUAGAUGUUUGCUUUAAGUCACAGUCUCCUAUUAAAUACUGUGCGAGAAUACUAAAUAUUGUAAAUGUUAAAGACUUGAAUUUAUCAUAGGUUUAUCAUGGGAACAUUAACACUUUUACAGCUGUAACCUCACAACAACACACAGAGUAUACUGAGUUCUAAAGCCACAGUGCUGUAAAUGUCAACUGGUUCAUAAGUAAUAUAUGAGUAAUAUACAUGAAUUUAAUUAUUUAGGCUUAUCAAAUUUCACCGAGAUGCGGAUAAUUAGAUGCAGUAGUGUGCCAGCUGAAAAUAUGUCCCUGUCCACAAUGGUCAAGCAGUUAUAAAUGACAUUUUGAAACGCGUAAGCCAGGGUUCGGUAGAUAAAUUCUGCUGAAAGCAGCUGAAGUGGGGUCGUCGGGGCUGGCUGCCCUGGUAGGGGGGAUGCCCAGGUGCAGUGGGUGCCAGCCAGGUUCGCCCAUGCCCCGGUACGGGCAGUAGCACAUUUGUUGCAGUGUAGGUCUGGGCCACACGAUGGCUCCAAGCACAUACAUUCAAAGCUAAUAAAUUUCCAGACUGUACACUCGACACAAUUUCACUAGAUAGCAACUACUGAAAUACGCCGAUACAUGAGUGUUUAGAACAACUGUUUAAUUAGGCGCAAUCAUGAGCCAAUUGUAGGCACUUGUACAGUAACUAAACAGAAACGUCAACAAUUUGCUUUUAUAAAUGUUUAAAUAUGAUAUCUAGGGCAACUAAGAUGUGCAUGGUUACAUCAUGCUGAUUGAGGUUUGUAAUUCCUUUGAGCUUUCUUCUCUGAAGUUUCUUCUGUCUAUCAGAGUACCAAUAGGUACUUCAGAAAGAAAUCCUGAGCAGUGUGUGUGGCAUAGCAAACAAGUCCACCGAUGAUGGGAACUUCCCGGCUGCCAUAUGCACCUGUGCAGACGUGUACAGAUCAAGUAAAAUGUUCUCAGUCUUGACUCUGGUUUCCUUAAAAAAACCCUCCAUGACUUUGGAGUUACUCUAGUGCUAAGUUUACAGCCAAGGGCUGUGCACCACGUCUGGGUGUGCAGCGUUGAUCAAACUCUCCAAAGACCAGCUGUGCUACUUAGGUUUCUCUAAUGGCCAGGACACUUCUUCCUCUGGUCAAUCUUUGUGAAUUUGUUGAAGGUUAGAACUAGAAUAAAGUCAAUUCUUUCAUUGACUGAACCCUUGGCUCCCUGAAACAUUUUUCCUAUCCUAGGCAGAGAUUGCUAAGGCUUAUGAACGGGUUUUGUUGGUGCAGAUUGAAAUUCAAUUUCAAUUACAUCUCAUACAGAAUUAACUUACCAAAAGUAGCAAGCUAACCUGGAAUACACUGAUAACAUGUAUCAGACAAAAUCUCCUGAAUUAAACUAUUUAAACUAUUUUGUGCCGGCAGUGUGCCGCUACUCCAAGAGGUCUAACCAAUUCAGAAAGCCAAAAUUCUUGACUGUCAGAAAAUGGCAAAAGACUGUUUAAAGUUCAAGUUCUUGGCUGCCACUCCCCUAGAAGAGACAUCUGCCUGUACUUCAGUCUUGAUUGCUCCAAAUGUCCAUCAGCACAAAGCAGUUACAUCAGGGUAACUUUGUGAGUGUGCGCAGGGAAUCCAGAUACGUGGUGUGCAGAAAAGGAAGAUAAAAUGAGGGCUUUUUCCCCAUGGUGACCUAGACUUAAUUAGUCAAGCAGACACGAUGAAGAAUAGGAGAAGCAGUAAAAGAACAAACACUGACAGAAAUAAAGACAGUAUAAGAAAAGAGCUAAAAUAGCGUUUCAUUUAUGUCUUUGAAAGAAUAAAUAGAUUUUUUAAUAGAUUGUAAUUACUGUAGUAUAAAAGCUAUUCAAUUGUCACGCCAGGCAUGAUUUUAGUGAUUUUAGUUGUAUUUGCUUAAUCGUCUGGUUGUCUACAGACUUAGGCAAUGGGAAACUGGAAAUUUUCUUCAUCCAGACGUGUCUUCAGAUCUGAAUGGAUCUGAACCCACGUCAGUUUUAUGUCCUGUGACAAACCUGAGUGUAAAUAACUCCAAAAUGAAAGUUGACAAAAUCAUCAAGUUUUGGUUAACAUCACUUGAAUCAUUCUUAAAAUAUACAAAAUUAUUUCACAUAUAUGUGUUGGGGUGAGACCUUUGCCUGGUUUCAGGGCUGGUUCCAAACUCCUUACGUGGGUUUACAAAGAAUCAAUGCUCUGCCUCCCUUCUCCUAUGUAAAGCCUAUAUUGCUUAGAGGUAGCACUAAAUUUGAGCUGUGCAGUAAAUCAUAUCUAAUAUUUGUGUAAGAUGUUAUUAUAUGCUGGAGGCAUAAUUCUUACUUUCUGAAAGGCUCCUCCUUAAAGUACACUUCAUGCUGACUACAAUAGCGGGAUCAUCGUGAAGGAAUAUAAACCACAGUUUUCUGCUCUCUUUAUAUAAAAAGUAAUAAUAACCAGUGAUUUAAUGGCUCCAACAGUGACGCAUUUAAUCAUUAAAAAGCCUCAGUAAAUUAUAAAGGGUAAGAAAGAUGGCGUUUGAUCCAUAGACAGCAUGCUUGUUUCAGGUAUUCUAGACAAAUUUCUCUGUACGGUAUCUUAAAAUUCUAGGUUUGGCUUUCUUUUCUGGAGAAACUUUUAGAUCUCAAGGAAUCUUAUUUUCAUUAGUAAUAACAAUAAUUACUGGAAAUAACUGUAAAUUGGUAAUAACACAAAAUAAUGGCCGUUUUUCACUGUUAAGUAACAUGGUUCUGAAGUAUUUGUGUAGAUCUGACCUACCCAACGUAGUGCAAACCUGUCACAUAAUCUCUCUCUGGGCAACCAGCUAAAGCAUUCUGUAGAUGUGCUUUUUACCACAGAAAUUAGUAACCAAAAAAUAUAAGCUUGAAUGAGCUCUAUUAAUUAAGAAAUGACUU